rnacentral:rRNA from 1 species
GACGAACGCUGGCGGCGUGCUUAACACAUGCAAGUCGAACGGAAAGGCCCUGCUUUUGUGGGGUGCUCGAGUGGCGAACGGGUGAGUAACACGUGAGUAACCUGCCCUUGACUUUGGGAUAACUUCAGGAAACUGGGGCUAAUACCGGAUAGGAGCUCCUGCUGCAUGGUGGGGGUUGGAAAGUUUCGGCGGUUGGGGAUGGACUCGCGGCUUAUCAGCUUGUUGGUGGGGUAGUGGCUUACCAAGGCUUUGUCGGGUAGCCGGCCUGAGAGGGUGACCGGCCACAUUGGGACUGAGAUACGGCCCAGACUCCUGCGGAAGGCAGCAGUGGGGAAUAUUGCACAAUGGGCGGAAGCCUGAUGCAGCAACGCCGCGUGCGGGAUGACGGCCUUCGGGUUGUAAACCGCUUUCGCCUGUGACGAAGCGUGAGUGACGGUAAUGGGUAAAGAAGCACCGGCUAACUACGUG